CGAGAUUCAAAGAAACAAAGACUGAAAGCACUGAAUCUAUAUGCUGACUGAAUGAGAUUGCUCAACCAUGCACUGGUUUUGAUGAAGGAUCUCUACCCAAAUAUCGACUGUUUAUUCACUUCCAUCGAUACUGCCUGACAUACUGAGUUCCUCCAGCAUUUUGUGUGUGCUGCUUUGGAUUUCUAGCAUCUGCAGGGGAUUUCUCAGAUGCUACUUGACCUGUGAGAUGUUUCCAACAUUUUGUGUCUUCAGCUCAGUUUUCAACUCACUUCAAGGGCCUUCUGUUGAUGCACUACAAUUGCCAGCUUCCGUUCAGAUGGAAAUUUUGCGUUUUGCAGCAAUUUGUCUCAGAUAAGUCCACUACGGAUCAAUUGCUACUUUUGCUUCAUGCCCUGUGCAGGUAUAUGUAAUUAUCUCCUGCAUCAUCAGCGGCUCUAGAGUGAAGUUUGCAGUCAGUAAAAGUUUUGCUCCUAGGUUCCUCCAGAAGGGCCACAAUCUUGUCAUGGUUCGGAGGUGUGUGUGCCUCAAUGACCCAGAGAGCUAUGUUGGCUGGAGUCAGGGCUUUAUGCUUUGGCUCUUGGUAGGGUCACCCAUGCCAAACAGGUCAAAGGGUGGAGUUCAGGGUGGUGUGGGGGUUCAACUCAGGGCUAACAACCCUGAAUGGUAAAACAAAACUGUUACAGAAACUGCAAUGAAGAAUUCUUCUACAUCUGAGCAAAACAGUUUUCCUGUGUCUCCACCAGGGAUUUUCAUGACUGACGGUAGCGAAAACCGAGAGGAAGCUACUGACAUGAUGAAGGAAGCCCUGAACACUGCCAGAGAUGGAGGGCAUUUAUUGCUGCCCUAAAUGCCAGCAGUGUAAUGGGCAGUAAGUAGGUAGUCAUUAGUUGUAGAUGUAAAUGUACAUAAAGGUGUUAAUGUUGUACAAUAGUAAUGUUUCUUUCCUUAUACCCUCUGCAGUUGCAAAUUCUGUUACUGACCUAUCAAACAGGUGAGACUGUACUUCCCAGUGAAACAGAGUCCGGACGGCUCAGGAUACAGGUCCAGUGUGGCUCUCGUCAGUAUUAUGUAACUCUAGCAUGAGUGUUCCUGUUCGACUAUUUAUUUUCAUCUCGGUUGGCUUACGUGGUUUUCAGAUUAUUGGAGGAUUUCUUGCUUCCACAGCAGCUGCAUGGUUAAAUAGCAGGCUGACUCGGUGACAGGCUCGGUUGUGUUAUCCUACCUACCAAUAAAAAUCAACAGUAAAUGUUCAUUUCAGAUUCUGAAUUACAAUCAGAUUUAUUACCACUGACAUGUUGCAUGAAAUUUGUUGUCUUGUGGCAGCAAUACAUUGUAAUACAUAAUAUAACUACUAUAAAUUAUGAUAGGAAAUAUAGGUGGCACUCACAGACAUACAAGAUGUUUAAACUAAAAGCAACUGCACUCCCAAAUCCUUCAUCCACAUCUUGAUUGUAGUAUAGUUUCACCCUUGUAUAUGACCGUAAGACAGAGGAACAGUAUUAGGCCACUCAGCCUAUCAAAUCUGCUCCCCCAUUUGAUCAUGGCUGACUUAUUUUACCUCGCAACCCCAUUAUCCUGCCUUCUCCCCAUAAACCCUAAUGACCUUACUAAUGAAGAUUGUAUCAACCUCUGCUUUAAAUAUAUCCAAUGUUUUGUUUCCACAGAUAUCUGUUGCAAUGACUCACCGUGCUCUUGCAAAAGAAGCUCCUGCUCAUCCCAGUCCUAAAGGGUUUUCCUUUUAUUCUGUGUCUGUGCCUUCUGGUCCUAUGCUCUCCCACUAUUGAAAACAUCCUUUUGAUGUCCUCUCUAUCUGGGACUUUAAAUAAUCAGUAGGUUUCAAUGAGAUCACCCUUCAUUCUUAUAAAUGCCAGUGAGUACUGGCACAGGGUUAUUAAGUACUCCUCAUAUGUUAACUCUUUCAUUCACAGGAUCAUUCUCGUGAAUAUCUUCUGGAUCAUCUCCAACACCUGCACAUUUUUCCUUAGACAUGGAGCCCAAAACUGCUGAUAAUAGUCCAAAUGUGGUCUGACUGAUGCCUGAGGAAGUUUCAGCAUUUUAUUCUAGCUUUUAUAUUCCAGACCUCUUGAAAUAAAUGUGAACAUUGCGUUCACCUUCCUUACUACCUACGCAAGCUGCAUGUUCAUCUUUAGGGAAUCCUGUACAAGGUCGCUCAAGUUCCUUUACACCUAUGACUUCUAAAUUCUCUCUCAAUUUAGAAAAACGGUCUUUUAUUCCUUCUGCCAAUGUGUAUGACCACAUGCUUCCUUGCGCUGUAUUCCAUUUGCCACUUCUUCGAAUCUGUCCAAGCCCUUCUGCAGACGCCCUGUUUCCUCAACACUACCUGCCCCUCCAACUCUCUUGGUGUCAUCUGCAAACUUGGCCACAAUCCCAUCAAUUCAGUCAUUCAGAUUAUUAACAUAUAAUUUGAAAUGACGCAGACCCAACAUCAGCUCCUGCGAAACACCACUAGUCAUCGACAGCCAACCAGAAAAGACCUGCUUUAUUCCCACUCCUUGCCUUCUGCUUUUCAGGCAAUCUUCUAUCCAUGUCCAUAUCUUUCCUGCAAUGCUAUCAGCCUCAUGUGUUCAUCAGCCACCUUGUCAAAGGCCUUCUGAAAAUCCAAAUAAACAACAUCCACUGACUCUGGUUUGUCUAUCCUGCCUGUUGCUUUCUCAAAGUAUUCCUUAAGGAAACCAUGCUGACUUCGACCUAUUUUAUUGUGUGCAUCCAGGUACCUCAGAAACACAUCACUAGUAAUGAAUUCUAAUAUUUUCAUAACCACUGAAGUAAGGCUAACAGGCCUAAUUUUUCUUGUCUUAUGUUCAAGAUUUCCUGCAUCAGUGGAAUAUCAUGCGUUUAGAAUUGAGUCUUCCCUUGCAGAUUCAUCAACAUGAGCCUAUAUCAUUCCAAUGACACUUAGGAGCAGCACCCGUGUCAUUGAGUACUCUGUUGGCCUGGGGCUUGACAGCCCAUGUUCUACAGGUCCAGCAACCUGCUCUAAUUAUUUUUCCUAUGCAAUCUUUGACUGGGAGACAAGUGAAACAUGUUUUACAAGUUGCCUUAACAAUAUAGUUUCACUUGAUUUCUCUGGACGUACAUUCUUCUGUUUGUAUGCGUGAGAGAGAUUUCAAAGUGCCUGUUUGAAAGUGUGCUUCUGUGUCUGGCUGCAUACCCGUGUCUGUGCAAGGAUUCUAGUUAGUUAGUCACUCUGUCUACUACCUUAAUCACUACACUGCACAAUAAAAAAUUGGAAUUUCAUUUUAUAAGGCUGUUAACAUUGCAAGUGCAUGCUGGUAUUUAUGUAUUUAUGCACAUUUUAUUCCAUAUCCCUACUUAAACUUCUAACUCUAUUUUAAAUAAUUCUUUAUUCUUUAUAAUUGUUGAAAGCUGCUUUUGUUGCAUGUCACACUUGCACACCACAGCAAAUUCCUAAUACGUGUAAAUGCAUGUGGUGAAUAAAGCUGAUCUUUGAUCCUUGAUGUAUAUUUACUCGCGUGAAUUUGCAUGUGCCUGUGUUGGGCCGAAGAGUCUCUACCAUUGCAGGUAUGACUACAGCUAGCAUAGCUGGCAUGGAUGAACUGAGAAAAAGCAGCUGUUUCCAUGCAUUGUUAUUCUUCGAUUUUAUGGUUCUACUUGUUGCUAUAGUGAGGUAGCUUUUUAAGUGUUAAAGAUUUCAUUCUCACAUAGUGAAGCCAUGGUUUCGCUUGUAGCACAGAUCCAACC